UCCCCGUUAUCCUGGGCAGUCCCUCCAGAGUUCCCGGCAUAACCCGUUGGCAACUGGAAACAGGGGUUGCGCUCGUUAUGGGACUUAACCCGACAUCUCACGACACGAGCUGACGACAGCCAUGCAGCACCUGUAGUAGGUUCCGGACUGGAUACCGUUGGUUGGCGUUUCCGCUUUCUACUUCCUACCGCUUUCGCACAUGUCAAGUCCAGGAUAAGGUUCUUCGCGUAGCCUCGAAUUAAGCCACAUGCUCCACCGCUUGUGUGAGCCCCCGUCAAUUUCUUUGAGUUUCAGCCUUGCGACCAUACUCCCCAGGCGGGGUACUUAUCACUUUUGCUUCGACUGUAAACCCAUGUCCAGUCUACAAUCUAGUACCCAUCGUUUAGGGCUAGGACUAC
rnacentral:misc_RNA from 1 species